UUGAAAUGCAAUCGGAUUGAAUUCAAUCCUAAGUUGUAACAUCAGCACUGAAUGAAAAGAUGAAAAGAGAGUCAUUAUCAUUACUCUGCCGUUGGAGUCUUUCAAGGCCAAAGUUUCUCUAAGAAUCGAAUGUGUUGUCUAUUCUUUUAGUAGGAGGCUGGAGAGAAAUUUAUUCGUUUCUCGAGUUAUUCACGACCGAGCAUUUUUCUAUCCACGGCAAAUUUCAAAAAUCGCGGGCGAUGAUCUUCGCUGCAAACGUUAACAAAUCUGCGCAUCAAAAAUGAAUAUCCAGUUGAGGUUGCCAAUAAGUCGCCAUUGCCGCGCCAGCAGAUUGGAUGAUCCAAUUGAAAUUUUCCACCUUUAAUGUGGAGACUGACUACGGUUAAAUCUUUAUAUUAUCGAUAGAAACACGGAUUUAUUAUACGGAGCGACCGGCAACACAAUUACUGCAGUAGUCUCACCAUAGCAUCCAACAUCAUGUUUAUAAAGUAUGGAUACCCAGUACUAAACCCAAACCCACAAUCUAUAAUUGGCAGGCAACUUACACUGCUGUUUCGAUCAAUAAGGGUGAUGCAACCACAACGACAUCUACGGUGCCAACGACUAUAAAAUAAAUGGCUUUGCUUCUCGUUUGAUCGACUUCAAACUACAGUCCUGAUUAAAUGAACCAUUGAACAGAUGAGAAACGUCCUGCAGCAGUCACAAUGCCAUCAGUGGACCACCAUGACGCUCCCUGUGCUCUUUAACACUCAGCGUUAACUGCUUUAUUAUUAAUUGGCCCAAAAAUAAUUACCUAACUGUCUGCACUAUAACUACAAGUAAUAAACUCUUGUAUUUAACCA